rnacentral:lncRNA from 1 species
UUAGCCCCCCCUACAGUUGACCGAGUCCCUGCACCAAAAAGUUUGACAAGAGAAGAGCUUCAGGAGCGAUCUGCGAAGGGGUUAUGUUGGCAUUGUGACGAGCCGUGGAGCCGUGAGCAUCGCUGUAGUAGAGGGGGACUUCUUAUGAUUGAACCGAUAGAAGAAGAGGUCAUUGAACAUCCAAAAGAGAGCCUUGAACAUGAAGAAGAAGAUGUAGAAGAAGAGCCACAACCGACCGAAGUUACGGUACAUACACUAGCUGGCUACUCAAACCCACAAACGAUGAAAGUUGGAGGACUUCUCAAACAACAACCGAUCACUGUUCUCAUCGACACGGGCAGCACUAAUAACUUCCUAAACAGUA